AUGCCGCCAUGAGCACAUGUACUAAAAUUGGAACGAUACAGAAAAAUUAGCAUCGCCCCUGCACAAAAGAAGUCUUUUGCACUAGAAUCUCCCAAAAGAUGU
ensembl:snRNA U6 U6 spliceosomal RNA